rnacentral:rRNA from 1 species
GUGGGGAAUCUUGCGCAAUGGGCGAAAGCCUGACGCAGCCAUGCCGCGUGAAUGAUGAAGGUCUUAGGAUUGUAAAAUUCUUUCACCGGGGACGAUAAUGACGGUACCCGGAGAAGAAGCUCCGGCUAACUUCGUGCCAGCAGCCGCGGUAAUACGAAGGGGGCUAGCGUUGCUCGGAAUUACUGGGCGUAAAGGGCGCGUAGGCGGACAGCUUAGUCAGAGGUGAAAGCCCAGGGCUCAACCUUGGAAUUGCCUUUGAUAGUGGCUGUCUUGAGUACGGGAGAGGUGAGUGGAACUCCGAGUGUAGAGGUGAAAUUCGUAGAUAUUCGGAAGAACACCAGUGGCGAAGGCGACUCACUGGACUGGUAUUGACGCUGAGGUGCGAAAGCGUGGGGAGCAAACAGGAUUAGAUACCCCAGUAGUCC